CCAGCAAAGGACUUGAUAUGCUGUACAAGAUACAAGAUAUCAAGGUUGGCAACUCUAAUUGUUACUUUAACUUAAAAAUAAUUGUCAGGCAUGUGUUGGAAGUGAACUACACAAUUUUUUUUUUAGAAUGAUGCAUCUUUAUUUUUCUUCUUGAUUCACAGAAAACCUUUCCUUGAGUCUUACGUGAAUGUGGUAAGUAAUAUCUUUUUUUUUUAAUCAAUGCAUAAUAAGCCCUGCAACUGUGGCAAUUCCAUAUUUAUUUAAUUAUUUUAGUAGGAUGUUUUAUAUUAUUAUUAUUAUUAUUAUAUUUAUUCUUAUUCUCAGAGGUGGAUGGAGAUGUGUAGACUCCACUAUCCCUUCACCCCAGUUAUUGCCAGUUGGUGCGAGCCUCCACUCUUGCCGACUACAUCCCAUUCAUUAGGUUCUACAAUUUAUCCUUCAGCCCACAAGAGGAACCCAACAGAACCAAUGGAUCAGGAUGAAGCAUGACGGAAAGUCGGUGGUGUUUUGAGGGCCAAUCUGAAAGGUGAGGAUAUCUUCAAGGAGUGCAACAAGACUGAAACACUAACCGAUGCAAGGUGUAAACAGAUGGUGAACAUCCUGGCUGCAGAUAUGAUGGAGCUGCAUGGGAGGGUUCCGCCAUCAUGUGUGAUGAGAAAUUACGCCCUGAGAAUUGUGACUUGUUUUCCAUACCUAAAAGAUCCAUUCUCCAAACCUGGAUAUGCAAGUGUCUUUUCAAUGUAAAACCUAAAGUACUGUUUUUGUUUUUCCUUUAGGUGUGUAGUUUGUAUUAAACUCUUGUUUCAAAUAUGUUCAUAGGAUGCUUAGCUUAGCGGCAGUGGCUCAAGAGGUAGAGCAGGUCGUCCAGAAAUCGUAAGGUUGGUUGAUCCUUGCUCCCUCCACCCAGUCACUGUUUUGUCCUACACUUCUCCUGGCUCUCAAAGCCGUUCCAAGACUGUUUCUUCAUGAUGGUCCAAAAACCAGAGGAGAACAUCUGUUAACUGGUCAACAGCUGCUUGGUGAGGAGUGCAAGGAGGCGCUAUCUACAGUAAGACAUUCAAAUGAUGAAUCCGUGGUCGAAGAAGAUGAGAGCAACUUUCCAGUAUCGACAGAAUAUGAUCCAAGCACAAGAUGUAUCAUCGUCUGUUCUCAAUGUGUUCCCUCACUUCCUUGAUGUUCCUGGAUUGGUAAGGAAAUCUUGAGUAUUUGGACUAGUUCCGUAUUAGAUUACCCAUUACAUCAACCAUUUGUAAACCUGUAGGCCUACAGUAUAUGAAAUAUUCAUGUCUUGUUUAUAGAUUGACCAGGAUUUCUCAAUGAUGUUUGGUGAUGAAGUAUCUCAGAGGUUCCUGGCUAAGUGGUCAACUGUCUUCAAACCAAAAGUCAUUGCAGACUUUAAGACUCUCCCGCAAAAGCAGAACAUCGAUGAGUUGCUGUCAGGAACUGAACCUCAACCUGAUGACAUAUGUACUGGAUGUAGCUUUGAUCUACCUGUGUUCAAGAAGAUCUGUGAUAUAAUAAAACACAAAGAAUGUGCUUUCAUAAUAGCCUGUAAUGUAAAAAAACUAUGUACUAUGAGGACCUGUUUAACGCGUACUGCAUAGAAGACCAAAUGCUUGAGUUUUCUGUCAUGUGUUUAAAUGAACUGACUCAUUUCAGACCAUUUGACAAGCAGUACUCUAAUGACAAUUGUCAAAAAGCAAACAUACUGUAGUGCCCUGCUGUUAUUUAAGCUGUCUGUUGGAAAUGAAAUGUUUUGGAAUAAAAUGUAUGAAGCAGUCAACUAGUCAUUUUUAAAAAAUGUUUAAAUUUUAUUUUGAAGUAGUAGAUUAACACCUUUAUAGUGUUAAUGUUGCAACUCCUUUUGAGAGUAAAAUGACACUAUAAGAGUCAAUAAAUGACUCUUAAGAGAAUUAAUUUGUGACACCUCACACUAGUGUUAAAAAAAUGCAACACCGGUUGGUGUCAAGGAGUGUUAAAUUUUAACUAUAUAAAUAGUUAAU